rnacentral:rRNA from 1 species
AGAGUUUGAUCAUGGCUCAGAUUGAACGCUGGCGGCAGGCCUAACACAUGCAAGUCGAACGGUAACAGGAAGCAGCUUGCUGCUUUGCUGACGAGUGGCGGACGGGUGAGUAAUGUCUGGGAAACUGCCUGAUGGAGGGGGAUAACUACUGGAAACGGUAGCUAAUACCGCAUAACGUCGCAAGACCAAAGAGGGGGACCUUAGGGCCUCUUGCCAUCGGAUGUGCCCAGAUGGGAUUAGCUAGUAGGUGGGGUAACGGCUCACCUAGGCGACGAUCCCUAGCUGGUCUGAGAGGAUGACCAGCCACACUGGAACUGAGACACGGUCCAGACUCCUACGGGAGGCAGCAGUGGGGAAUAUUGCACAAUGGGCGCAAGCCUGAUGCAGCCAUGCCGCGUGUAUGAAGAAGGCCUUCGGGUUGUAAAGUACUUUCAGCGGGGAGGAAGGGAGUAAAGUUAAUACCUUUGCUCAUUGACGUUACCCGCAGAAGAAGCACCGGCUAACUCCGUGCCAGCAGCCGCGGUAAUACGGAGGGUGCAAGCGUUAAUCGGAAUUACUGGGCGUAAAGCGCACGCAGGCGGUUUGUUAAGUCAGAUGUGAAAUCCCCGGGCUCAACCUGGGAACUGCAUCUGAUACUGGCAAGCUUGAGUCUCGUAGAGGGGGGUAGAAUUCCAGGUGUAGCGGUGAAAUGCGUAGAGAUCUGGAGGAAUACCGGUGGCGAAGGCGGCCCCCUGGACGAAGACUGACGCUCAGGUGCGAAAGCGUGGGGAGCAAACAGGAUUAGAUACCCUGGUAGUCCACGCCGUAAACGAUGUCGACUUGGAGGUUGUGCCCUUGAGGCGUGGCUUCCGGAGCUAACGCGUUAAGUCGACCGCCUGGGGAGUACGGCCGCAAGGUUAAAACUCAAAUGAAUUGACGGGGGCCCGCACAAGCGGUGGAGCAUGUGGUUUAAUUCGAUGCAACGCGAAGAACCUUACCUGGUCUUGACAUCCACGGAAGUUUUCAGAGAUGAGAAUGUGCCUUCGGGAACCGUGAGACAGGUGCUGCAUGGCUGUCGUCAGCUCGUGUUGUGAAAUGUUGGGUUAAGUCCCGCAACGAGCGCAACCCUUAUCCUUUGUUGCCAGCGGUCCGGCCGGGAACUCAAAGGAGACUGCCAGUGAUAAACUGGAGGAAGGUGGGGAUGACGUCAAGUCAUCAUGGCCCUUACGACCAGGGCUACACACGUGCUACAAUGGCGCAUACAAAGAGAAGCGACCUCGCGAGAGCAAGCGGACCUCAUAAAGUGCGUCGUAGUCCGGAUUGGAGUCUGCAACUCGACUCCAUGAAGUCGGAAUCGCUAGUAAUCGUGGAUCAGAAUGCCACGGUGAAUACGUUCCCGGGCCUUGUACACACCGCCCGUCACACCAUGGGAGUGGGUUGCAAAAGAAGUAGGUAGCUUAACCUUCGGGAGGGCGCUUACCACUUUGUGAUUCAUGACUGGGGUGAAGUCGUAACAAGGU